GAAUAAGAAGGUCCGGCUAAUUUCGUGCCAGCAGCCGCGGUAAUACGAAGGGACCUAGCGUAGUUCGGAAUUACUGGGCUUAAAGAGCUCGUAGGUGGUUAAGAAAGUUGGUGGUGAAAUCCCAAGGCUUAACCUUGGAACUGCCACCAAAACUUUUUGACUAGAGUAUGAUAGAGGUAAGUGGAAUUUCUAGUGUAGAGGUGAAAUUCGUAGAUAUUAGAAAGAACACCAAUUGCGAAGGCAACUUUCUGGAUCAUUACUGACACUGAGGAGCGAAAGCAUGGGUAGCGAAGAGGAUUAGAUACCCUCGUAGUCCAUGCCGUAAACGAUGUGUGCUAGACGUUGGAAAUUUAAUUUUCAGUGUCGCAGCAAAAGCGUUAAGCACACCGCCUGGGGAGUACGACCGCAAGGUUAAAACUCAAAUGAAUUGACGGGGACCCGCACAAGCAGUGGAGCAUGUGGUUUAAUUCGAAGAUACGCGCAGAACCUUACCAACACUUGACAUGUUCGUCGCGAACCUAAGAGAUUAGGUUCUUCAUUCAGUUGGACGAAACACAGGUGCUGCAUGGCUGUCGUCAGCUCGUGUCGUGAGAUGUUGGGUUAAGUCCCGCAACGAGCGCAACCCUUACUUUUAGUUGCCACCAUUUAGUUGAGCACUCUAAAAGAACUGCCAGUGAUAAGCUGGAGGAAGGCGGGGAUGACGUCAAGUCCUCAUGGCCCUUACGUGUUGGGCUACACACGUGCUACAAUGGCACUUACAAUGAGAUGCAAAGAGGCAACUCCUAGCAAAUCUCAAAAAGGUGCCUCAGUUCGGAUUGUACUCUGCAACUCGAGUACAUGAAGCUGGAAUUGCUAGUAAUCGCGGAUCAGCGCGCCGCGGUGAAUACGUUCCCGGGUCUUGUACACACCGCCCGUCACACCAUGGAAGUUGGUUACACCUGAAGGCAAAACGUAAAACUUUGACUACG
rnacentral:rRNA from 1 species